UGAAGAGGGCUGUAUGAAUUUAUUAUAUUGUUCCUAUUACUGGUCAUACAUUAUCCAUGCAGUAUUAAUGGGAAAACCAAGGGAGAUAAGGUAAGAUUUUAAAGCAAGAGACUCAUUUACAACCUUGUUCCGUUAGCUUGUUAACAGUAUAGUUUCUAUAGCAACACCUACUGGUUGUUGUGAUAAUGAAAGCCACAGCAAGAUCUCCUGCAGAGAAAUCCUUGAUGCUGACAAGAUCAACUCAUAUUUUCUUUGUCCAGUGUUUUCUGUUUCUUCUUGGAAUGACCCUUUUAGCAGAAUGUAAAAGAUCUCCACUAAUUACCUAUGAAAUAAACAGCUGAAGUCAGGC
rnacentral:lncRNA from 1 species